CCUCCCUCUUCGCGACCUGACGACCCACGCACCAAACCACUGUCCUUCCUACACCUUCAGCUUCGCUCCGGCCGCUACACCGCCUCCGUUCAACCUAUUUCGAUGUCACCGACGCAUUUCUGGCUCUUGCUUUUCCAAUCGGCGAUCGUGGAAGGAGAAAUCACAGUGAACAGUGUCGAGCAUCAAGGUGGCACCAGCGUUUACAGCCACUGAUUCGAUCGAACUUGGUAUGGAAAUCAUUCAUCUCGUCGUCUUCAUCAUCCUGGUGAUUUAGUUUGAUUGAUUUCUUCACUAAUUCGAUUUUGAAUCUUCCUGGGUUUACUGGUCGACGUCGUUCUUCGAAAAUUGGAGCCUAUUCUGUCAAUUCUAGGAUUCAUUAGGCUUCGUAUGCAACUUGGUGAGGUAUCAAGAAGCUGAGUUGAUCAUCCAACUUUACCUUGACGGAUCAUCGAAUUCAUGAGGAAGCUUCUGCCAUUUGGGAAAUUUGAAGUUGUUGGGAUUGAUUCAGAUACAUUAAGGGAAGUAAUCAUUGUUGUUGCUAAGCUUCUUUGGGUCUGAAGAUCAAAUCCUCAAUUUUCCACUCUGAUCAAAUUGAUCAUUAGGGUAUAGGAUACGUGUUUGUGUUUGUGAGUAUGAGACAUUACUUCCAGAGGAAUCAAGCAGUCAAGCAGCUAGUAUGGACUUUCAGGGAUUAACUGUAGAGAUGCUAUGUGCCCUUCUGAAGGCUAAAGGUCUUUUUGUAAAGGGAAAAAUGCAAGUAUUAUGAUGAGUCAAUUAUGGAAUUGUAAAGUACAUUACUAGGAAUUAAUAGUAGUGAGUUAAUGUUCAGAAAAUGCUGGAGUCAUGUAGUGGUUGCUUGUUGAACAAUGUCAAACAUGGACUGGUAUGUGCACUGUUUUAUUUUCACUUCUACGCAAACUUUUGGAGCGCUAUCACUUCAGUAAUAUAAUUAUUGGAGUGUUGUGAACUGAGAAUACAUGUGGAUUUUUUAAGGUUAUUGGAGAUCCAAUAGCAUGGGUGUCAUCCAAAUUUUUUUGAGAAACUAAGGUAAGAACCUAUGAACUAGAAUUUACUAAAUUUCAUAUCUGAACUCAAUGAAUUCAUAUGUAUUGCCGAAAAACAUAGUUGUUUGGUGCACAUAUGUUGCUCGAAGAAUUACCUUUAUUUGUAGGUGGUCAAUUUAAGCAAGAUUACAUGGUCACAUUAUGAGUAUGAAGUUAGCUAUUUCGCAAAGUGUUUUAGAUCUAGUGAUGUUUAUAUUUAUGCUUGUAGAGAUUUAGUGCAUGGUUGCACUGAUUUGUAUGUUUGAAACCUAGGUGAUUAAUUUUUGUUGAUAUAUUGGUGAAUAUAAUAUUUCAAUGGCAAAUAUAUAAUUGUGUGAU